UAGGGAAUCUUCCGCAAUGGACGCAAGUCUGACGGAGCAACGCCGCGUGAGUGAAGAAGGAUUUCGGUUCGUAAAACUCUGUUGUUAGAGAAGAACAGCGCAUAGAGUAACUGUUAUGCGUGUGACGGUAUCUAACCAGAAAGCCACGGCUAACUACGUGCCAGCAGCCGCGGUAAUACGUAGGUGGCAAGCGUUGUCCGGAUUUAUUGGGCGUAAAGCGAGCGCAGGCGGUCAAUUAAGUCUGAUGUGAAAGCCCCCGGCUCAACCGGGGAGGGUCAUUGGAAACUGGUUGACUUGAGUGCAGAAGGGGAGAGUGGAAUUCCAUGUGUAGCGGUGAAAUGCGUAGAUAUAUGGAGGAACACCAGUGGCGAAGGCGACUCUCUGGUCUGUAACUGACGCUGAGGUUCGAAAGCGUGGGUAGCAAACAGG
rnacentral:rRNA from 1 species